AUUGAACGCUGGCGGCAUGCUUUACACAUGCAAGUCGAACGGUAACAGGGUGCUUGCACCGCUGACGAGUGGCGAACGGGUGAGUAAUGCGUCGGAACGUGCCGAGUAGUGGGGGAUAACGCAGCGAAAGUUGUGCUAAUACCGCAUACGUACUGAGGUAGAAAGUGGGGGACCUUCGGGCCUCACGCUAUUCGAGCGGCCGACGUCUGAUUAGCUAGUAGGUGAGGUAAAGGCUCACCUAGGCGACGAUCAGUAGCGGGUCUGAGAGGAUGGUCCGCCACACGGGCACUGAGAGACGGCCCAGACGCCGACGGGAGGCAGCAGUGGGGAAUUUUGGACAAGCGGCGAAGGCCUGAUCCAGCCAUGCCGAGUGUCUGAAGAAGGCCGUCGGCUUGUAAAGGACUUUUGUCAGGGAGAAAAUCCCUAGUGCUAAUAACACUGGGGGAUGACGGUACCUGAAGAAUAAGCACCGGCUAACUACGUGCCAGCCGCCGCCGUAACAC
rnacentral:rRNA from 1 species